rnacentral:rRNA from 1 species
AGUGAACGCUGGCGGUAGGCCUAACAGAUGCAAGUCGAACGGCAGCACAGUAAGAGCUUGCUCUUACGGGUGGCGAGUGGCGGACGGGUGAGGAAUACAUCGGAAUCUACUUUUUCGUGGGGGAUAACGUAGGGAAACUUACGCUAAUACCGCAUACGACCUACGGGUGAAAGCAGGGGAUCUUCGGACCUUGCGCGAUUGAAUGAGCCGAUGUCGGAUUAGCUAGUUGGCGGGGUAAAGGCCCACCAAGGCGACGAUCCGUAGCUGGUCUGAGAGGAUGAUCAGCCACACUGGAACUGAGACACGGUCCAGACUCCUACGGGAGGCAGCAGUGGGGAAUAUUGGACAAUGGGCGCAAGCCUGAUCCAGCCAUACCGCGUGGGUGAAGAAGGCCUUCGGGUUGUAAAGCCCUUUUGUUGGGAAGGAAAAGCAGCAGGUUAAUACCCCGCUGUUCUGACGGUACCCAAAGAAUAAGCACCGGCUAACUUCGUG